UUUUUUUUCUUUCGUUUUUUUUUCUCUUCCUUUUUUUUCUCUUUCUCUUUUCUUUCCUUCUUUCUCUCCUCUCUUUUUCUCUUUUUCCCAAUACAACUUGCUUUUGGCCACUCUGCACUGAGCAAAAUGACUAAAGGAAAACCUCACCUCAAAAGAAAGAAUCAGAAACAGUCCUCUCUCCCACAGAGUUACAAAAAUCUGGAUUACAAUUCAAUGUCAGAAAGCCAAUUCAGAAGCACUAUUAUACAGCUACUGGUGGCUCUAGAAAAAAGUAUAAAGGCCCUCAAGAGACUUCAUGACUGCAGAAUUUAGAGCUAAUCAGGCAGAAAUUAAAAAUCAAUUGAAUGAGAUGCAAUCCAAACUAGAAGUCCUAACGACGGGGGGUUAAUGAGGUGGAAGAACGAGUGAGUGACCUAGAAGACAAGUUGAGGCAAGAGGGAAACUGAGGAAAAAAGAGACAAACAAUUAAAAGACCAUGAAGAUAGAUUAAGGGAAAUAAACGACAGCCUGAGGAGAAAAAAACCUACGUUAAUUGGGGUUCCCGAGGGCGCCGAAAGGGACAGAGGGCCAGAAUAUGUAUUUGAAAAAAUUUCUAGCUGAAAACUUUCCAAAUCUGGGAAGGGAAACAGGCAUUCAGAUCCAGGAAAUAGAGAGAUCCCCCCCUAAAAUCAAAAAAAACCGUUCAACACCUCGACUUUUAAAUUGUGAAGCUUGCAAAUUCCAAAGAUAAGGAGAAGAUCCUUAAAGCAGCAAGAGACAAGAAAUCCCUGACUUUUCUGGGGAGGAGUAUUAGGGUAACAGAAGACCUCUCCACAGAGACCUGGCGGGCCAAAAAGGGGCUGGCAGGAUAUAUUCAGGGUCCUAAAUGAGAAGAACAUGCAACCAAGAAUACGUUUUUCCAGCAAGGCUCUCAUUCAAAAUGGAAGGAGAGAUAAAAAGCUUCCAAGACAGGCAGCAACUAAAAGAAUAUGUGACCUCCAAACCAGCUCUGCAAGAAAAAUUUUUAAGGGGGGCUCUUAAAAUUCCCCUUUAAGAAGAAGUUCAGUGGAACAGUCCACAAAAAAAAGACUGAAUAGAUACAUGAUGACACUAAAUCAUAUCUCUCAAUAGUAACUCUGAAUGUGAACGGGCUUAAUGACCCCAUGAAAAGGUGGGAGGGUUUCAACGGAUAAAAAAGCAGGACCCAUCUAUUUGCUGUCUACAAGAGACUCAUUUUAGACAGAAGGACACCUACAGCCUGAAAAUAAAAGGUUGGAGAACCAUUUACCAUUCGAAUGGUCCUCAAAAGAAAGCAGGGUAGCCAUCCUUAUAUCAGAUAAACUAAAAUUUACCCCAAAGACUGUAGUGAGAGAUGAAGAGGGACACUAUAUCAUACUUAAAGGAUCUAUUCAACAAGAGGACUUAACAAUCCUCAAUAUAUAUGCUCCGAAUGUGGGAGCUGCCAAAUAUAUAAAUCAAUUAUUAACCAAAGUGAAGAAAUACU
rnacentral:lncRNA from 1 species